CCAGAUGAGGGGCUGCUGGUACAUUAUAUUAUAUUAUUGUAUAUUUAUAGACAAUCCAUAUAAUGACACUGUUAAAUGCCCAUUGGGCACUGACCCCGGGCUGUUUGUGGCCAGGUGAGGCGGCUGCUGGCCCCGCAGCCCCGGCACAGGCUGACGGUGCAGCAGGCCCUGCAGCACCCCUGGGUGACCGGCACGGGUUGGGCACUGACCCCCGGCUGUUUGUGGCCAGGUGAGGCGGCUGCUGGCCCCGCAGCCCCGGCACAGGCUGACGGUGCAGCAGGCCCUGCAGCACCCCUGGGUGACCGGCACGGGCGCCAAGCUGGCCCACAUGGACAGCACCCAGCGCAAGCUGCAGGAGUUCAACGCCAGGAGGAAGCUGAAGGCCGCCAUGAAAGCCGUGGUGGCCUCCAGCCGCUUGGGCAACCACGGCCACCACGACUGCUCCCGCAGCGGCCGCGGCCAGGGGGGACCCCGGGGGCUGGCCCAGCCCGGGGGCACCAGGAGCCCCGAGGGUGGCACGGGGCGCAGCGUGUGCCCGAGAGACCAGCGGGCUGUGUGCCCGAGUGACCACCACGGUGUGUGCCCGAGUGACCAGCGGGCUGUGAGCCAGAGUGACCACCAUGGUGUGAGCCAGAGUGACCAGCGGGCUGUGAGCCAGUGUGACCACUGGGCUGUGAGCCAGAGUGACCACCACGGUGUGUGCCCGAGUGACCACCGGGCUGUGUGCCAGAGUGACCACCGGGCUGUGUGCCAGAGUGACCACGGAUCAACCUGGGAUAGAGGAAUGUGUCCCUGCCCCUGCAGGGGAAUGAGGUGAGCUCUAAGGCCCCUUCCAGCCCAAAACAUUCUGUUAUUCUCUGAUGAUUCUCUCCGCUUUGCUCUUGUGAAUGUGUCUUGUAGCUGGGCUGUGUGCCAGAGUGACCACCAUGGUGUGUG
rnacentral:lncRNA from 12 species